rnacentral:rRNA from 1 species
AUUGAACGCUGGCGGCAUGCCUUACACAUACAAGUCGAACGGCAGCACGGGUGCUUGCACCUGGUGGCGAGUGGCGAACGGGUGAGUAAUACAUCGGAACAUGUCCUGUAGUGGGGGAUAGCCCGGCGAAAGCCGGAUUAAUACCGCAUACGAUCCACGGAUGAAAGCGGGGGACCUUCAGGCCUCGCGCUAUAGGGUUGGCCGAUGGCUGAUUAGCUAGUUGGUGGGGUAAAGGCCUACCAAGGCGACGAUCAGUAGCUGGUCUGAGAGGACGACCAGCCACACUGGGACUGAGACACGGCCCAGACUCCUACGGGAGGCAGCAGUGGGGAAUUUUGGACAAUGGGCGAAAGCCUGAUCCAGCAAUGCCGCGUGUGUGAAGAAGGCCUUCGGGUUGUAAAGCACUUUUGUCCGGAAAGAAAUCCUUGACUCUAAUACAGUCGGGGGAUGACGGUACCGGAAGAAUAAGCACCGGCUAACUACGUG